GUCCACGCCCUAAACGAUGUCUACUAGUUGUUGGGAGAGUAAAAUCUCUUAGUAACGCAGCUAACGCGUGAAGUAGACCGCCUGGGGAGUACGGUCGCAAGAUUAAAACUCAAAGGAAUUGACGGGGGCCCGCACAAGCGGUGGAUUAUGUGGAUUAAUUCGAUGCAACGCGAAAACCUUACCUGGCCUUGACAUGUACCGAAUUUAGCAGAGAUGCUUUAGUGCUCGAAAGAGAACGGUAACACAGGUGCUGCAUGGCUGUCGU
rnacentral:rRNA from 1 species